rnacentral:tmRNA from 1 species
CCUGGAUAGGACUAUAUUUGUAGUGCCGGUUUACCGGCUAUGGCGAUAAACGCCCUGUGGAAUAAGCGUAACGGACCCGGGGGCAGUGCCCGGCGCCUCCACCAACCCUAAGUUUCGCGCCAUUUCGGCGCAAAUUCAUGGGGGCGAAACAGGAUCGACGUGCGUGGUAAAGACUUGGUUUUCGCCCGGCAUUGUACCACCGUUAUCGGGCUACCUUUACAAAUGCCAACGACAAUGAGGCAUUUGCUGUUGCCGCCUAACGGCUAAGCAACAACGGGGUUCGGAGGGCACCUGGCAACAGAAGCCCUCCAC